rnacentral:rRNA from 1 species
UACGAAGGGGGCUAGCGUUGCUCGGAAUUACUGGGCGUAAAGGGCGCGUAGGCGGCGCAGAUAGUCAGGCGUGAAAUUCCUGGGCUUAACCUGGGGGCUGCGCUUGAUACGUCUGUGCUAGAGGACGGAAGAGGCUCGUGGAAUUCCCAGUGUAGAGGUGAAAUUCGUAGAUAUUGGGAAGAACACCGGUGGCGAAGGCGGCGAGCUGGUCCGUUACUGACGCUGAGGCGCGACAGCGUGGGGAGCAAACAGGAUUAGAUACCUGGUAGUCC